GAAAAAUGAAUUAACUCAACUCGUACAGUGAUUACGUGUUGAGAAGGCGCCUUGGUGACACUGAAAUAAAUGUUAUUGAAAUGAAUUCCAGCUGCUUCUUUUUCCAGUUGUCAGAGAGGCUACUAGACAGUUAAAAUACACACGUGGCUUGUGGUGCUUUUCUAUUGGACAGCGUUGCUCCAGAUAAAAGAAUGCAAGUUAGAUUGUGUGUGUGUGUGUGUGUGUGUGUGUGUGUGUGUGUGUGUGUGUGUGUGUGUGUGUAAGAGGACUGCCCUGUGCUACACCCCCAACAACGAUAUUCGAUAUUCGAGGUUUUGGAGAAAAGCUUUGCAAGUUCUCUAAAGUAGAACUGAUUACAUCCAUGGUUCUGCUAUCCAGACCGACCAAGGCCGAGCUGUGGGAGUGGGAGUGGCCGGGGCCUCCCCGCAGUGGGGCGGCUACAGGUAUCUCCCGCCACCGCCACCACCACCGCCACCGGCAGAGGCGGAUCCGGGUGAGGGACGGACUCCGGACUCCGGGGUGCAGCUGGGGACAGCGACGCGCUUCCUGCCCGGGAAGGGCCCGAUCGCCGGCAAUAGCAGUCCGGCAGCUGCCUGCUUGGCUUUUUAACACCGGGACUUUGGAGAGGAAACAACUAACAACCCGGGCCCUCUGUUCCUCGAGGGGUUUGAAAUGAGUCAGGGAAACACACGCUUCGGAGGGCAAGCGCUUGUGAUCCCAACCCCAGGAGAGGUGACCAGUAGGCAGGAGGACGCCCGAUCAAGGCCCGUCUGAACUGAACUACACACUACAGCAUGCAUUAAGGACACCUUGGGGACUGGAGAGAUGGUUCAGCAGUUAAGAACAACGACUGCUCUUCCAACGGUCCUGAGUUCAAAUCCCAGCAUCCACAUAGUGGCUCACAACCAUCCAUCCGUAAUGAGAUCCGAUGACCUCUUCUGUUGCGUCUGAAGACAGCUACGCGACCGGGUGACCAGGGCCCACAGCUACAGUGUACUCACACAUAUAUAUAAUAAAUAAAUAAAUCUUAAAAAAAAAAAAGGGACACCUUGGGACCUUGGGAGAGCUGGCUCUCUCCUCCCACCUUGUGGGUCCCCGGGGUCAGCCUCCAGUCUUCAGGCUUGGCGGCAUCUGCCCUCACCUGCUGAGCCAUCUCAUCUAAAUCCUAUGUUUUAUAGUUAAUCCUAAAAAAAAAAAUCCUCCAAAAGUCUAUACAACCAAAUUUGUUAAACAUCAUUUAUUGCUUAAU